CGGCGGACGGGUGAGUAACACGUGGAUAACCUACCUAUAAGACUGGGAUAACUUCGGGAAACCGGAGCUAAUACCGGAUAAUAUAUUGAACCGCAUGGUUCAAUAGUGAAAGACGGUUUUGCUGUCACUUAUAGAUGGAUCCGCGCCGCAUUAGCUAGUUGGUAAGGUAACGGCUUACCAAGGCAACGAUGCGUAGCCGACCUGAGAGGGUGAUCGGCUACACUGGAACUGAGACACGGUCCAG
rnacentral:rRNA from 1 species